CAUUUUCUUGAAACUCUAGCCGCC
rnacentral:siRNA from 1 species